rnacentral:rRNA from 1 species
CCCUUAGAUGUUCUGGGCUGCACGCGCGCUACACUGAAGCGUUCAACGAGUAUUCACCUUGCCCGGGAGGAUUGGCUAAUCUUUUUAAAAUGCAUCGUGAUGGGGAUAGAUUAUUGCAAUUAUUAAUCUUCAACGAGGAAUUCCUAGUAAGCGCGAGUCAUCAGCUCGUGCUGAUUACGUCCCUGCCCUUUGUACACACCGCCCGUCGCUCCUACCGAUUGAGUGCUCAGGUGAAUAAUUCGGACUGCAGCAGUGUUUGGAUCCCGAACGCUGCAGCGGAAAGUUUAGUGAACCUUAUCACUUAGAGGAAGGAGAAGUCGUAACA